UAACUGAUUUGAUUUCUGCAGGAUUGAGUUGGUUAACAAAUAUCAUAUGCUAGAUCAAGGAAUAAUAUUACGUGUAAUUGAUAUUGUUUCUAAUCACAAGUAGUAAUUAGUAAUACAUGAUUGUGGACAAGCUUUUGAGUAUUGCUAUGAUUAUCAGAAGACAAGUUAAACAAUCCGAGCUUAUGUGUUUGUUGCUUGGAAUAGUCUAAUUCCCUAGUUCUUAAUGCUACUAUUAUAUUAAAUCUAGAGAGCUUAUUUUAGGUUAUAUAAUUGUUAGAAUCUUGUGAAGAGCUUAUUUCAUUGAGUGACAAUCUAAUGGGAGUUUCGGGUAGCAGAGCUUUUUGUUACCUAGGGCUAUUAGUUUCAUUGAAGGGUAAAUAAUGUUACACUUGAUUAAUCUAUUAUUGUAAAAAGGUGAUACUGAACUGAAGAACUGUAGCUUUUU
rnacentral:lncRNA from 1 species